GCUGGCUCGCCUGAGCGAGUGUGUCUGACCCUGUUCGACGUGCCCGAGACCGGCGACCUGACGCUGACGUUCAGGAGAAGUGAGAGUAGCCCGACGUUCGCACAGCACACCCAGCAGGUGUCGGGCGUGGCGGGUGGGUCCAAGGAAACAUGCUUUGAGGUUCAAACACCAGAGCUUGACGAUUUCACCAUGUGGAUGGGUCUGGAAGUUACUUACCCAUCCGCCGUCAACUACACCAUCUCGGGAAAUCAGUACAUCUCUGUCUUCUCGAACAACGCGCCUGAAGAUCAUGUCUUCAUUCAGACAGACAAGUACGUGUACAAGCCGGGACAGGUGGUCCGCUUCCGCGUCCUCUCCGUCAACGGGAAACUGAGGCCGAUUUCGGAG